UACAGCAUUGUUCGGUCUUAUCAAAUGAUUUAGUUGUACGAUCAUUUGCUAUUGGAUUCACACAUGCCACCAUUUCAGCAGUGCAGGCUGCAGCCUGAUCACUGUCCGACAGCCCAAGCCUUCGUAAGCACUCUGCUAUUUGACAAAGAUUAAAGAUAGGAUAGCACCAAACAUUGACAUUUUGUAUUGGACCGUUGGAGGUUUGAAUCGUCAGGCAAGAAAAGAUGCAGUUCAUCAGUCGGUACCAUCGACGCUAUGCCAUUUG
rnacentral:lncRNA from 1 species